rnacentral:rRNA from 1 species
CACGCCGUAAACGAUGGAUACUAGCUGUUGGGCGCAAGUUCAGUGGCUAAGCGAAAGUGAUAAGUAUCCCACCUGGGGAGUACGUUCGCAAGAAUGAAACUCAAAGGAAUUGACGGGGGCCCGCACAAGCGGUGGAGCAUGUGGUUUAAUUCGAUGAUACGCGAGGAACCUUACCAAGGCUUAAAUGUAGAUUGACAGGACUGGAAACAGUUUUUUCUUCGGACAAUUUACAAGGUGC